rnacentral:lncRNA from 1 species
UCCUCCUUCACUGGCCUAAAGUAAUUCUCUUAUAUGAAAAAUAAUUUACUCUUAUGCCUCUACUAUAGUUUCCAACCUUAGAUGAUCUACAAGAGAUGGAAGAUCUAUAUAUAAAUAUCCUCCAUGAUCCAUAGUUUUCUACUAUUCUACUUUCCUAUAGGCCUAUGAUGGUAAAUGCUAGCACUUUGGACAUCUUAUCAGUUAAAAGACC